AUGGUGCCCUACACCUCCCAACCAGUGGCAGUGUCGGAGGACUGCCGCUCCAUGUUCAUCACCUUCUCCAAAGGAAAUGCCCUCCACCAUGAGGAGAUCUUUGAGUACUUCAGGCAGAAGUGGGGUGACUGUGUGGUAAGGGUACUGAUGGAGAAGAUCAAGGGAGGCCACAUGCCCAUGUAUGGCCGGAUCAUCUUCAAGACAGAGGCGAUCGGGAAGCUCGUGCUCAACGGCGAGAUGCUCGUCAAGAUCCCCAUAGGACAACAUGAGAUUUGGCUCCGCAAGUACGUCCCCAGGCCAACCAAGGCUGCUGUUUGA
rnacentral:rRNA from 1 species